rnacentral:rRNA from 1 species
CCUACGGGAGGCUGCAGUGGGGGAUAUUGCACAAUGGGGGAAACCCUGAUGCAGCGACGCCGCGUGUGGGAAGACGGUCCUCUGGAUUGUAAACCACUGUCCCCAGGGACGAAGAUGACGGUACCUGGGUAGGAAGCUCCGGCUAACUACGUGCCAGCAGCCGCGGUAAUACGUAGGGAGCGAGCGUUGUCCGGAAUCACUGGGUGUAAAGGGAGCGUAGGCGGGGAUGCAAGUUGGGGGGCAAAACUCCCGGCUCAACUGGUAGUCGCACUCAAAACUGCAGCGCUUGAGUGAAGUAGAGGCAGGCGGAAUUCCUAGUGUAGCGGUGAAAUGCGUAGAUAUUAGGAGGAACACCAGUGGCGAAGGCGGCCUGCUGGGCUUUUACUGACGCUGAGGCUCGAAAGUGUGGGGAGCAAACAGGAUUAGAUACCCUAGUAGUC